rnacentral:rRNA from 1 species
UACGUAGGGGGCAAGCGUUGUCCGGAAUUAUUGGGCGUAAAGAGCUCGUAGGCGGUUUGUCGCGUCUGCCGUGAAAGUCCGGGGCUCAACUCCGGAUCUGCGGUGAGUACGGGCAGACUAGAGUGAUGUAGGGGAGACUGGAACUCCUGGUGUAGCGGUGAAAUGCGCAGAUAUCAGGAGGAACACCGAUGGCGAAGGCAGGUCUCUGGGCAUUAACUGACGCUGAGGAGCGAAAGCAUGGGGAGCGAACAGG